rnacentral:rRNA from 1 species
UCCAGACUCCUACGGGAGGCAGCAGUGGGGAAUAUUGCACAAUGGGCGAAAGCCUGAUGCAGCGACGCCGCGUGAAGGAUGAAGUAUUUCGGUAUGUAAACUUCUAUCAGCAGGGAAGAAAAUGACGGUACCUGACUAAGAAGCCCCGGCUAACUACGUGCCAGCAGCCGCGGUAAUACGUAGGGGGCAAGCGUUAUCCGGAUUUACUGGGUGUAAAGGGAGCGUAGACGGAAAGGCAAGUCAGAAGUGAAAACCCAAGGCUCAACCAUGGGACUGCUUUUGAAACUGUCAAACUAGAGUACGGGAGAGGUAAGAGGAAUUCCUAGUGUAGCGGUGAAAUGCGUAGAUAUUAGGAGGAACACCAGUGGCGAAGGCGUCUUACUGGACCGAAACUGACGUUGAGGCUCGAAAGCGUGGGGAGCAAACAGGAUUAGAUACCCUUGUAUC